rnacentral:rRNA from 1 species
AUUGAACGCUGGCGGCAUGCCUUACACAUGCAAGUCGAACGGCAUCGCGGGAAAGCUUGCCUUCCUGGCGGCGAGUGGCGAACGGGUGAGUAACACAUCGGAACGUACCGGCUAGUGGGGGAUAACCCGUCGAAAGACGGGCUAAUACCGCAUACGCUCUUCGGAGGAAAGCAGGGGACCUUUGGGCCUUGCGCUAGCCGAGCGGCCGAUGUCCGAUUAGCUAGUUGGUGGGGUAAAGGCCUACCAAGGCGACGAUCGGUAGCGGGUCUGAGAGGACGAUCCGCCACACUGGGACUGAGACACGGCCCAGACUCCUACGGGAGGCAGCAGUGGGGAAUCUUGGACAAUGGGGGCAACCCUGAUCCAGCAAUGCCGCGUGGGUGAAGAAGGCCUUCGGGUUGUAAAGCCCUUUCGGCAGGGAAGAAAUCGGCGGGGCGAAUAACCCUGCUGGAUGACGGUACCUGCAGAAGAAGCACCGGCUAACUACGUG